rnacentral:RNase_MRP_RNA from 16 species
UUGACCGGGCGAAAGUCCCCGGGCCAUGGGGCAGAAAGUGCCAGCCCGCAAGGGCAGGACCCCAGUGUGCACUAGAUGCCGCUGGGUGGCUCGCCAUAGCCACAGUUAUGUAGCCAGUGGAGAUACAAUCCACCAACACAACGGGGCUUACUCCUG